ACGAAGGUUCCUAUUUUCCCCGAGAAACUUCUUCUCAAAACCUCUUGGGCUUAGCUUAGGUGAGGUACUUGCCCGCCAUUGCGAUUUGCGAGAGCUCGAGCAGAAGCCGCGGAGAACCGCUGCGCGCGCUAGAGAGAAAUGUGUAAGGCUUAUCUACUUCCGAUUGUGCUUCUCACUUGGGUUUUAUUAGCAGUAACCCUUUUAGCUUCUGAUUGCUCUAUCAAUGGAUUUCCACUAGUGAGGAAUAUAAGUGCGCUUCCACAAAGUAACUAUGGUAGAGAAGGCCUCUCUCACAUCACCCUGGCUGGGUCUCUCAUCCAUGGAAUGAAAGAGAUAGAGAUAUGGCUUCAAACCUUUUCUCCUGGAUCACACACACCAAUUCACAGGCACUCAUGUGAAGAAGUUUUUGUUGUCCUGAAGGGUACUGGUACACUCUAUCUUGCUUCAGACUCGCAUAGAAAAUAUCCUGACAACCCUAAGAUGUAUCCUGUCUUUGCAAACAGCACCUUCAUUGUUCCUGUUAAUGAUGCUCACCAGAGGAAAGCAAAAGAUCUAAGGCGGCGUUUGGUUGGGGGUCUUCAGGAAAGGGAAGAGAUUGGUAUGGAACACUGACGACAGCGAGGAUCUGCAAAUGCUGGUUAUUGUAUCACGUCCUCCAGUCAAAGUGUUCAUAUAUGAAGACUGGUCCAUGCCUCAUACUGCAGCUAGAUUGAAGUAUCCAUACUACUGGGAUGAACAAUGUUUCGACUCACCAGUAAGAGAUGAGCUUUAAAACAUUUUCACUCAGAAGCUUUAAGGAAAUUAUCUCUCUAACAAAUUACAGUGCAACGAGCAAACAAUUGGAGAAAAGUUUGUGUAUUCGAAAUUUCGAACUUGUAAGUAAAUGCUCCUAAUCUUGUAUAGAGACUUGGUAACGUGCGUUGUUAUGGUAAUAUAGAGAGAUGUUUAAAAAAAAUGUGUUUCUUUAAAUGUACUCCUACCUUUUUUUUGGGUGCUUCUCCAUAUUUCAAUCCUCCUUUUCUCCUCGGAAAUGUAAAGUAAAGUUUCCUUUC